UACGUAGGGCGCAAGCGUUGUCCGGAAUUAUUGGGCGUAAAGAGCUCGUAGGCGGUCUGUCGCGUCGGCUGUGAAAACCCGGAGCUCAACUCCGGGCCUGCAGUCGAUACGGGCAAACUGGAGUGUUGCAGGGGAGACUGGAAUUCCUGGUGUAGCGGUGAAAUGCGCAGAUAUCAGGAGGAACACCGGUGGCGAAGGCGGAUCUCUGGGCCGAUACUGACGCUGAGGAGCGAAAGCGUGGGGAGCGAACAGG
rnacentral:rRNA from 1 species